GGCGAUGAUGCAUAGCCCGAGUUGAGAGACUGAUCGGGCCACAUUGGGGACUGAGACACGGGCCCAAACUCCUACGGGAGGCAGCAGUAGGGAAUCUUCCACAAUGGACGCAAGUCUGAUGGAGCAAAACGCCGCGUGAGUGAAGAAGGGUUUCGGCUCGUAAAAAGCUCUGUUGUUGGUGAAGAAGGACAGGGGUAGUAACUGACCCUUUGUUUGACGGUAAUCAAUUAGAAAGUCACGGGCUAACUACGUGCCAGCAGCCGCGGUAAAAU
rnacentral:rRNA from 1 species